CCUGCAUAUAUACGUCUGUAUCCACUGUGUGUGUGCAUGUAUGCACAACACACACACACACACACACACACACACACACACACACACACUCACAU
rnacentral:miRNA from 1 species